rnacentral:rRNA from 1 species
AUUGAACGCUGGCGUCAGGCCUAACACAUGCAAGUCGAACGAGUGGCGGACGGGUGAGUAAUGUCUGGGAAACUGCCUGAUGGAGGGGGAUAACUACUGGAAACGGUAGCUAAUACCGCAUACCAUCGGAUGUGCCCAGAUGGGAUUAGCUAGUAGGUGGGGUAAAGGCUCACCUAGGCGACGAUCCCUAGCUGGUCUGAGAGGAUGACCAGCGACACUGGAACUGAGACACGGUCGAAGAUCCUACGGGAGGCGACAGUGGGGAAUAUUGCACAGUGGGCGCAAGCCUGAUGCAGCCAUGCCGCGUGUAUGGAGAGGGCCUUCAGGUUGUAAAGUACUUUCAGCGGGGAGGCGUUACCCGCAGAAGAAGCACCGGCUGACUCCGUGCCAGCAGCCGCGGUAAUAC